rnacentral:rRNA from 1 species
GACGAACGCUGGCGGCGUGCUUAACACAUGCAAGUCGAACGGAAAGGCCCUGCUUUUGUGGGGUGCUCGAGUGGCGAACGGGUGAGUAACACGUGAGUAACCUGCCCUUGACUUUGGGAUAACUUCAGGAAACUGGGGCUAAUACCGGAUAGGAGCUCCUGCUGCAUGGUGGGGGUUGGAAAGUUUCGGCGGUUGGGGAUGGACUCGCGGCUUAUCAGCUUGUUGGUGGGGUAGUGGCUUACCAAGGCUUUGACGGGUAGCCGGCCUGAGAGGGUGACCGGCCACAAUGGGACUGAGAUACGGCCCAGACUCCUACGGGAGGCAGCAGUGGGGAAUAUUGCACAAUGGGCGGAAGCCUGAUGCAGCAGCGCCGCGUGCGGGAUGCCGGCCUUCUGGUUGUAAACCGAUUUCGCCUGUGACGAAGCGUGAGUGACGGUAAUGGGUAAAGAAGCACCGGCUAACUACGUG